UACAGAGGUGGCUAGCGUUGUUCGGAAUUACUGGGCGUAAAGGGCUCGUAGGCGGCCAACUAAGUCAUACGUGAAAUCCCUCAGCUUAACUGGGGAACUGCGUCCGAUACGGGCAGACUAGAGUUCGGUAGGGGAGACUGGAAUUCCUGGUGUAGCGGUGAAAUGCGCAGAUAUCAGGAGGAACACCGGUGGCGAAGGCGGGUCUCUGGGCCGUAACUGACGCUGAGGAGCGAAAGCAUGGGGAGCGAACAGG
rnacentral:rRNA from 1 species